UACGGAGGGUGCAAGCGUUAAUUGGAAUUACUGGGCGUAAAGCGUGCGCAGGCGGUUUGUUAAGUCUGUUGUGAAAUCCCCGAGCUCAACUUGGGAAUUGCAAUGGAUACUGGCAGGCUGGAGUAUGGUAGAGGAAGGUGGAAUUCCCGGUGUAGCAGUGAAAUGCGUAGAGAUCGGGAGGAACACCAGUGGCGAAGGCGGCCUUCUGGACCAAUACUGACGCUCAUGCACGAAAGCGUGGGGAGCAAACAGG
rnacentral:rRNA from 1 species